GUUUGUUUAGCCUGGAGAAGAGAAGGCUUCAGGAAGACUUAAUCGUGGCCUCCCAGUACUUGAAAAGGGAGCUUAAAAGCAGGAGGAGGACUGACUUUUAUAUGUGAUCUAAUAGUGAUAGGACAAAGGGGAAUGGCUUUAAACUAAAGGAGGUGAGAUUUAAGUUAAAUGUUAGAUUUUUUUUUUUUACUUGGAGGGUGGUGAGGCACUGGCACAGCUGGUCAGAGAGAAGCUGUGAGUGCCCAAUUCCUGGAGAUGUUCAAGGACAAGUUGGAUGAGGUCCUGGGCAGCCUAAUCUGGUAGGGAGCAGCCCUGCCUAUGGCGGGGGGUUGGAGCUUAAUCUUUAUGGUCCCUUCCAACACAACAUAUUUGAAUCAUAGAAUCACUCAGAUUGGAAAAGACAGUAAGAUCGUCAAGUCCAACCACAACCUAACCAUACUACUCUAACUAACAGCCCUCCGCUAAAUCAUGUCCCUGAGCACCUCAUGCAAAUGGUUUUUAAACACAUCCAGGGCUGGUGACUCAAAGAAGCCCAGCCACAAAGGUACAGAAAAACCCAGCAGAACUGGCUUGCAGAUAUGUGGCUCAUGCAGGUGGGCAGCUGUGCUCAUCCCCAUUCCCAGGCAGGGAAGCUGAGGCACAGAGGCCCUUGGGAGGUUUGUCCAAGGCUGGAGAAGUUCUGGAGCAGAAAUGGGAAGAGAAGAAAGCACAUCUUGUGAUUGCACAACCACUGCUCCAUUCCUGGAGGCCAGCAUGUGGCAUCGAGGAAGCCAUCGGACCCUGGCUGAAGCACUGGCAAUUUUCUCUCCUCUCUAGCUGCCUUGUGAUCAGAGCUGAGCAUUAGCCUUGUCCCCCUGGAGAGGCCCUGCUUUGUUUCUAAAGAUUUCCUCUGCUUUACUGAACAGGUAUGGAUUGGUUUGAUUGUUUGUUUUUUUUUUUACAAGAAUACUCUAGUAACCCUAAAAAUAAUCUAGAUUAUUGUCCACCUAGAAAUCAGAUGCAGAGAAAGGAAGAGGGUUAAGGGAAUAACUAGCUGCUCAACCACUUACAGACUCCUGAUCUGCUGCCUAAAAAAUCAGAGCAUUAUAAGGAUGCUCCAGUGUUCAAGAUCACAAUCAGAGCACGCACUGUGUCAGAUGCAGCACUACACCUAAGCAGCAUCCUCUCCUCUUCUGUAUGUAGAUGAGAGAGUCUGCACUGGACUCAGAGAGUGGGCUUUGCAUUGGGUUAAGUAAAGCCAGCAACUGGAUCCAACAACAACUACUUGAUCUCCAGUUUCUAGUUUCUCCAAUUGUUUUGUCUGUUCUGCAAAAGCCAAGUUAAUUACAAAUAAUAGGCCCUGACUUGACAUACACCUCUCUCAUAUUCAACCCCUAUGAUUAGAAAAACACCAAGACUAGAAAUCUACAUGAAGCCUGACUUGUGAACAG
rnacentral:lncRNA from 1 species